rnacentral:rRNA from 1 species
AGCUCCAAUAGCGUAUAUUAAAGUUGUUGCAGUUAAAAAGCUCGUAGUUGAAUUUUGGAUUUGAUUAGGUGGUCUUUACGUAUGUAAUGUACUACUUUGAUCGAAUCUUUCCUUCUAGCGAACUAUAGUGUUAUUUAUUUAAUGCUAUAGGGAACUAGGACUUUUACUUUGAAAAAAUUAGAGUGUUUAAAGCAGGCUUACGCUUGAAUACAUUAGCAUGGAAUAAUAAAAUAGGACUUUGGUUUUAUUUUGUUGGUUUCUAAGACCGAAGUAAUGAUUAAUAGGGUCAGUUGGGGGUAUUAGUAUUUAAUCGUCAGAGGUGAAAUUCUUGGAUUGAUUAAAGACUAACUUCUGCGAAAGCAUUUACCAAGGAUGUUUUCA